AUUGAACGCUGGCGGCAUGCCUUACACAUGCAAGUCGAACGGUAACAGGUCUUCGGAUGCUGACGAGUGGCGAACGGGUGAGUAAUACAUCGGAACGUGCCUAGUAGUGGGGGAUAACUACUCGAAAGAGUGGCUAAUACCGCAUGAGAGCUACGGAUGAAAGCAGGGGAUCGCAAGACCUUGUGCUACUAGAGCGGCCGAUGGCAGAUUAGGUAGUUGGUGGGAUAAAAGCUUACCAAGCCGACGAUCUGUAGCUGGUCUGAGAGGACGUUCAGCCACACUGGGACUGAGAAACGGCCCAGACUCCUACGGGAGGCAGCAGUGGGGAAUUUUGGACAAUGGGCGAAAGCCUGAUCCAGCAAUGCCGCGUGCAGGAUGAAGGCCUUCGGGUUGUAAACUGCUUUUGUACGGAACGAAAAGCCCCGGGUUAAUACCCUGGGGUCAUUACGGUACCGUAAGAAUAAGCACCGGCUAACUACGUGCCAGCCGCCGCCGUAA
rnacentral:rRNA from 1 species